CGCUCUACUUUCCCUCCCAUGUUAUUUCUACGAGGACACUGAGUGAGGUAUAAUAUUUGCGAAAUUAGGAAAGGUUUUUUCGAUUUCUUCGUUUUAAAAAGGACUUAUUUCAAUACCAGAACCGUGAAUUUUUUUGUACACGUUUGCAAGCCCUUCAGUGAGUGUGAUGGCUCAGAUUCCCAAAAGAUGAAAAGCAGGAGAAAAUUGGACCAGAAAUAUAAGGAUUUCCAUAACCUGUACAAACUCUGGUCAUCACAACUAGAGUGUCUGGAGUCAUUGGCCUAGCAAUAAGUUUUUCAUAUAGACUGAUAUUCGCUUACAGCUU